rnacentral:rRNA from 1 species
UACGUAGGGUGCGGGCGUUAUUCGGAAUUACUGGGCGUAAAGCGUGCGCAGGCGGUGAGCUGUGUCCGAUGUGAAAGCCCCGGGCUUAACCUGGGAAUGGCAUUGGAAACUGGCUCGCUGGAGUGUGGCAGAGGGGGGUGGAAUUCCGCGUGUAGCAGUGAAAUGCGUAGAGAUGCGGAGGAACACCGAUGGCGAAGGCAGCCCCCUGGGCUAACACUGACGCUCAGGCACGAAAGCGUGGGGAGCAAACAGG